CGACAACGAAACAGAGACGGAGACCGAGAGUCGCUUUUUUAGCAACCCAGUUGCUGUUUGCCGCAUUCGCAUUUCGGCUUUCGUGCCGCGCGGCAGCCAAAAAAAAAGCAAACUAAAAGCCCAAGAGAAUUCUCUACAGAACUUUUUUGCACGCGUGUGAUUCAAUCGAAUACGAAGUUUAAGUAUCCUAGCGGGAACUCAACCCAACUGUGUGUGUGUGUGAGAAACUGAACUGAAAACUGAAACAAAACUAAAACUAAAAACUGAAAACAGAAAACUGAAUUGUUGUUCCAUAAUCGUGCCGUUUGCCAAUUGGCGACGGCAAAAGUUUUGUGACCUUUUUUUGGCGGAAACAUUUCGAGAGGAAAUUGCAUUUUGCACUUUGCAUUUUCCACUUUUGCACAUCGCAUUUUGCAUUUUGCAUUUAACAUUUCUCAAAGAGUCAAGUUCAUAAUUUUGACUCUGUGAACAUUUUGUGAGUCGACUUGUUAAAUAUUCAAAACAAAAUUGUCGCCAGCGCAUACACGAAAAAAAACAACGCCAACGCCUUUGGGCCACAAGCUGCAAAUGCUGGCACACAAAACUGGCAGAAACUCCUCUUUCGAAGGUAAGCAUAACUACAACACAACAGAAAAAAAGGGCAAAACGCCCCAAAGUGGCAAUAACAAAGAGAACAAACAUUGCCAACUUUUAGUUUAGUGAAGAGGGAGUGAAGAGUGGGUAGUUUGAAGAGGGGGGAAGAGUGCUCUUUGGGGGCUUCGAGUCGAGUCUUGGACCUGGUCGACGUCUCGGCGAAACUCUUUCAAGUUUUUUUGACAGCUGCUGUCAAAUGUUGAAAGCAAGCCAGGCCCCAGCCCCAUAUAUAUGUAGAAGCGAGAGAACAACCAUACAGAAAUAUCUAAAACAAGUCAGCCACAGCUACAGCUACAGACUUGGCCAAGAGUCAGGCAUAGAGUCAGUCAUGGCCAUGGCCCAAAGUGCCCCCAAAGUUUGUGGCCUCCCGCCUCUCUCUCUCUGUCUCUCGCAUAUCGGAGAACAUCUCUAUACGAAUACACAACAUUCUUAUAGCCUUCUUUAACUCUCUAAGCAAACUUUUCAAAAAUGAAACCAAAACAAAAAGCAAAACCAAAACGAAAACAAAAAAGCAGAAGAAAAGGAGAAAAAACAACAGCAACGAAACAUAAAACAAUAAAACGAUUUUAUAGUUUUCAUGCACGAAGUCCACGAAAUGAAAAAUUCUACAAUUUAAACUGACAUUUAAAUUGAUAGUUCAAGAGAUGCACACGACAGAUACCAAGCUAGAAAGAGAGAGAGGAAGAGAGAGAGGGAUUGAGAGAGAGAAACAUACAAAACGAAACGAGACAGCUACUAAGAGAGGAGCGAGAGGGGAACGAGAGGGAGCAGCAUAAGCUGAAAAGUAUAUACUCAUAUAUGAUGCCAUAUAGAGGCGUGGCGGAAGGGGCAGACACACACACACACAUACACACACACUUGCAGCUGCUGCAAUGGGUGACGUACUACAAGUUGUUGUUGCGGCUGCUGCUGCGGCUUUUUGGCGGCUGAUGAUGAUGCUGAUGUGCUGAGCUCCCCAUUGUUGUUGUUGCUGUUGCUGUUGCAGUUGUGGUGGCAACAGCAACAUAAAAAAAAAACAAAACAAAUUCAUACAAAUAUUUCAACUUGAAUUGCAGUCUCUGGGAAAAAUAAUAAAGAAAAACAAAACAGCAAAAAAAAUAUAAUUUAAAGCGAGAAAGUGCAAAGACAAAAGAGUGUUUCCAACAAAUUUGAUAAAAAGAAAUGCAAAAUUAAUGCACAAUAUUUUUGGAUUCAACAGGAAACAAAACAAGCAGAAAAUAUCUAAAAGGGUUUUAAGAGAUUUUUGUGUAGAAAGGUGAUAAAAAAUUACUAGAAGCAAAUGUAUU